rnacentral:rRNA from 1 species
AGAGUUUGAUCCUGGCUCAGAACGAACGCUGGCGGCAGGCCUAACACAUGCAAGUCGAGCGCGCCUUUCGGGUGAGCGGCGGACGGGUUAGUAACGCGUGGGAACGUGCCCUUCUCUACGGAAUAGCCUCUGGAAACGGAGAGUAAUACCGUAUACGCCCUUUGGGGGAAAGAUUUAUCGGAGAAGGAUCGGCCCGCGUUAGAUUAGGUAGUUGGUGGGGUAAUGGCCUACCAAGCCUACGAUCUAUAGCUGGUUUUAGAGGAUGAUCAGCAACACUGGGACUGAGACACGGCCCAGACUCCUACGGGAGGCAGCAGUGGGGAAUCUUAGACAAUGGGGGCAACCCUGAUCUAGCCAUGCCGCGUGAGUGAUGAAGGCCUUAGGGUCGUAAAGCUCUUUCGCCUGUGAUGAUAAUGACAGUAGCAGGUAAAGAAACCCCGGCUAACUCCGUGCCAGCAGCCGCGGUAAUACGGAGGGGGUUAGCGUUGUUCGGAAUUACUGGGCGUAAAGCGCGCGUAGGCGGAUUAGAAAGUUGGGGGUGAAAUCCCGGGGCUCAACCUCGGAACUGCCUCCAAAACUGCUAGUCUAGAGUUCGAGAGAGGUGAGUGGAAUUCCGAGUGUAGAGGUGAAAUUCGUAGAUAUUCGGAGGAACACCAGUGGCGAAGGCGGCUCACUGGCUCGAUACUGACGCUGAGGUGCGAAAGUGUGGGGAGCAAGCAGGAUUAGAUACCCUGGUAGUCCACACCGUAAACGAUGAAUGCCAGUCGUCGGGUAGUAUACUAUUCGGUGACACACCUAACGGAUUAAGCAUUCCGCCUGGGGAGUACGGUCGCAAGAUUAAAACUCAAAGGAAUUGACGG